AGCGAACGCUGGCGGCAGGCCCAACACAUGCAAGUCGAACGAACUCCUCGGAGUUAGUGGCGGACGGGUGAGUAACACGUGGGAACGUGCCUUUUGGUUCGGAAUAACUCAGGGAAACUUGUGCUAAUACCGAAUGUGCCCUUCGGGGGAAAGAUUUAUCGCCAUUAGAGCGGCCCGCGUCUGAUUAGCCAGUUGGUGAGGUAACGGCUCACCAAGGCGACGAUCAGUAGCUGGUCUGAGAGGAUGACCAGCCACACUGGGACUGAGACACGGCCCAGACUCCUACGGGAGGCAGCAGUGGGGAAUCUUGCGCAAUGGGCGAAGGCCUGACGCAGCCUUGCCGCGUGAAUGAUGAAGGUCUUAGGAUUGUAAAAUUCUUUCACCGGGGACGAUAAUGACGGUACCCGGAGAAGAAGCCCCGGCUAACUUCGUG
rnacentral:rRNA from 1 species